rnacentral:rRNA from 1 species
AUUGAACGCUGGCGGCAUGCCUUACACAUGCAAGUCGAACGGCAGCACGGGAGCAAUCCUGGUGGCGAGUGGCGAACGGGUGAGUAAUAUAUCGGAACGUGCCCAGUCGUGGGGAUAACGUAGCGAAAGCUACGCUAAUACCGCAUACGAUCUAUGGAUGAAAGCGGGGGAUCGCAAGACCUCGCGCGAUUGGAGCGGCCGAUAUCAGAUUAGGUAGUUGGUGAGGUAAAGGCUCACCAAGCCGACGAUCUGUAGCUGGUCUGAGAGGACGACUAGCCACACUGGGACUGAGACACGGCCCAGACUCCUACGGGAGGCAGCAGUGGGGAAUUUUGGGACAAUGGGCGCAAGCCCUGAUCCAGCAAUGCCGCGUGCAGGAUGAAGGCCU